AUUGAACGCUGGCGGCAUGCUUUACACAUGCAAGUCGAACGGCAGCGCGGGCUUCGGCCUGGCGGCGCGUGGCGAACGGGUGAGUAAUGCAUCGGAACGUGCCCAGUAGUGGGGGAUAGCCCGGCGAAAGCCGGAUUAAUACCGCAUACGACCUGAGGGUGAAAGCGGGGGACUGAAAGGCCUCGCGCUAUUGGAGCGGCCGAUGUCGGAUUAGCUAGUUGGUGGGGUAAAGGCUUACCAAGGCGACGAUCCGUAGCUGGUCUGAGAGGACGACCAGCCACACUGGGACUGAGACACGGCCCAGACUCCUACGGGAGGCAGCAGUGGGGAAUUUUGGACAAUGGGGGCAACCCUGAUCCAGCCAUGCCGCGUGCGGGAAGAAGGCCUUCGGGUUGUAAACCGCUUUUGUUCGGGAAGAAAUCCUCUGGGCUAAUACCCCGGGGGGAUGACGGUACCGGAAGAAUAAGCACCGGCUAACUACGUG
rnacentral:rRNA from 1 species